AAGAGUAGUGGCUGUAGUAGCGGCAGGUCCACACUUUGACAACAGGUGAGCGGGACAGCCACGGCUGCUCCCAGACCCUCGCCUCCCAGCCCAGAAAUCUCCCCUGCAUUGGGCUGCCUCUCAUUCCCUCCCCACCCUCAUCCUGUGAAGUGUCCAGCCACUGUCCUGGCCCUGUGUGGGGGUCAGCAGGAUUUCUUAUGACCCUGUGCCCACCCAGGGAGCUGGCCUCAACCAUUUAGCUUUGACUGAAGUGGGUAGCGGGACGCCUGCUGGGCUGGGGAGUUGGGAAGCUUCGUUAAUCAUGCUUUCAGAGCACUUUGCGAUGCAGAGAUGAAAGAAGUCUGAGGAGAGCAAAGUACAGCCAUUACAAUCUCCAUCUUCCUAAUUGAGGAAAAUGAGGUUAUUUCCAAAUCCUCUGUGAUGCGAUGGGAAAUGUGCUUGAUAGGCCCUCACUUACAGCUCUCCCCUACCACGGCUGCUCAGAGCUGAGGUAGCCAGGGUGCUAUGUGUGCAGAGCACCCAGGUUACAGCCCCGCCACCCAGACAUGCCCCAGCUGCCCUGCGUCACUCCUGAUGCAUCAGCCCCAAGAAGGGCAACCUCGACAAAACAUCAAAGUUGGGCACCUUUGAGCGGCAUGGAAGUUCUCCUCCUCUGCACUGAGUAAUUGGAACAAAACGACCCAGGCAGUCUUGCUGUAACAUCAAAGCUGCAUAUAAUAACCUCACAGAUGAAUUUAAGAGUGAAUACAUUCACAGCCACUGCUCAAGUUUGAAGUAUGCUGCAAUGUUUUUCAGCUUCAGAACCAAGCAAGAAGAAGAAGAAGAAAAAACUCACCUGCUAUUGCUUCCUCUAUUGACCCUUCUGGGCUGCAGUGGAAGGUGUGCGUUUAUCGUCUUCACAUAAGAAGUCAGUCUAAGAACAAUGACGAGGAUAGGAACAACCAAGAAUAGGACUGGGGGGGCAGGAGAGAAAUCCCAAAGGUAACAUAUACGUUCAUAGAAAGCCCAGGCCACCCACAGGCUCUGUGAGGCACAGGGUGACGCUGACCAAAACACCUGCCAGGGUUCCACCAUCAAGGUCAGUAGGGGGGUGCUGGUCACUGACCUUGAAUGAAUGGCUCCCUUUAUUUAGGUUAGAAGACUAAAGGUGAGUAUAUAUUUAUGAACAUUAGUGCUACCAAAGAAAGGAAUUCAGAAAUGGUUCACGAGAUAGUAGGUUGGUGUGAAAGUAUUGUGGUUUUUGCCAAAGUAGUAGAAAUUACCUUCGCACCAACCUAAUAUAGAUGGCCCUUCACUGUGGGGCAGCUGAAGUCCUGGGACCUUCUAGGAGCAAGUCACAGGCUCCCGUUUCUAGGAGGGAACUCAGAGUUCACAGCUAAGGGGACCCAGGACAGGACUGUGACAUGCACUGUGGCCAGGAAGUGUCUGUAAAAUAGCAUCCUUUGGAACAACUGAAGGCAAAGAUUCAGGACAUGUCAUUUCUCAGUGCUGACCCGCACAGUAACUGCUCUCCUCCCUACCUGAGCACAUCUAGUCAGGUCCACUUCUCUUGUCUUCAUAGCCUAAUGAAACUCCCUGGGUCUUCUAUUUCUAGUUGAUCUUAACUCCCUGGCCCCUAGAUCUAGACAUGCCCUGUGGUCAGUAGAUACAUUGCUACCCUUUUGUAUAGCCACCACGCUGUGGGACUGCAUGCCAGGUUAAUGCACUAUUUAAUCAACCCACUUCACAGCUGAGAAAACAAGAGAAUAAGGAUAUAACUUCUCCCUUCAGUGAGAGAACAUGUAGGCAGCACAUUAUUGCUAUAACAACUGAUAUGUGCGUCCCCUUCAAAAAUCAAGGGGCCUGUAAAUAUCACCCUCAUACUAACUCUGUGAAGCAGCAUUCACCCUGAAACCCUGAAACCAUGUUGCAGGGCUACACCCCAGCCUGUUCCUAAAACCCAUGCCCUUCCUCAUUCACCUAUGACCCAGUGGCAUCAUUGUCCUUCAUUAUGGGUCAAAUUGUGUCCCCCAAAAAGACGUUGGAGUUCUAACCCCCAGUACCUGUGAAUGUGACCUAAUUUGGAAUGAUCAAGUUCAGAUGUCAUUGGGGUGAACCUCUAAUCCAUUAUGACUAGCGUCUUUACAAAAGGGAAGAAUUCAAACACAGAGGCUGACAUGCUCCAGGGAGAACGCCACAUGCAGAUGAAGUUGGAGACGCAGGGUGGUUGCAUCUACAAGCCAAGGAACACCAAAGACCACCGGCAAAACACCAGAAGCCGGGGGUGCCGGGGAGGCCUGGAAUAGAUACCUCCUUGGAGCCCUCAGCAGGAGCCAACCCUGGCACAGACAGCUUGAUCUCAGACUCCUGGCCUCCAGAACUAAGACCAAACAUUUCUUCUGUUUUUUGUAGUUCCACCACUCAGGUUCUGGUAUUUUGUUAGGGCAGCCCUAGAAAAGUGAGAUACCUCCUUAUAC
rnacentral:lncRNA from 10 species